rnacentral:rRNA from 1 species
UACGGAGGGUGCGAGCGUUGUCCGGAAUCACUGGGCGUAAAGGGCGCGUAGGUGGCCUGAUAAGUAGGGGGUGAAAUCCUGCGGCUUAACCGCAGGGCUGCCUUCUAAACUGUCAGGCUCGAGCACAGUAGAGGCAGGUGGAAUUCCCGGUGUAGCGGUGGAAUGCGUAGAUAUUCGCAAGAACACCAGUGGCGAAGGCGGCUCACUGGCCCGGUACUGACGCUGAGGUGCGAAAGCGUGGGGAGCAAACAGG